UACAGAGGUCCCGAGCGUUGUUCGGAUUAUUGGGCGUAAAGGGUGCGUAGGCGGCGGAGUAAGUUGGGUGUGAAAUCCCGGGGCUCAACCCCGGAACUGCAUCCGAUACUGCCAUGCUAGAGGAUUGGAGAGGUAGCUGGAAUUCUUGGUGUAGCAGUGAAAUGCGUGGAGAUCAAGAGGAACACUCGUGGCGAAAGCGAGCUACUGGACAAUUCCUGACGCUGAGGCUACGAAGGCUAGGGUAGCGAAAGGG
rnacentral:rRNA from 1 species